CCUAGAUGCUGGGACCACAGGCAUGUGCGAAUUUUUUUUAUGUUUUGUAGAGACAGGGUCUCGCCAUGAACGUUUGUGUCUCGUGAAAUUCAUAUGUUGAGAUUCUCCUCCAGGGAGAUAUUAGGAGAUGGAACAAGAGGGUGGAGCUUUUAUGGGAGGGAUUAGGUCAUGAGGGUGAAGCCCUCAUGAGUGGAAUUAGUGCUCUUAUUAAAAAGGCCUGAGAGAGGUCCCUUACCCCUUCUGCCAUGUGAGGUUACUGUGAGAUGAUGGCUGUGAGAUGAUGAUGAGGAACUGGCCCUCAUCAAACACCAGAUCUUCUAGUGCCUUGAUCUUGGACUUCCUAUCUCCAGAAUUGUGAGAAAAGAAUUUCUUUUGUUUAAAAGACGCCUGGUCAAAGGUAUUUUAUCACAGUAGCCUGUGCAGACUAAGACAAAUAGUUUCUCUGUAUCUCUACCAUAAAUUUCUUAUAUUUCUUUUUAGUGGCACCUGGCUCCAUGUCCUGUAUAUGUCUGACUCCUAGAGGCCAGAGAGGCCAGGGAACUUCCUUGUACUAAGGAAUAAGAAAUACAUUGGUGAAAGGAGACCUGUCAAGGCCAAGAGUGGGGGAUACUGCCAUGGAACAUGGAUCUCUAGUAUCAAAAGGGAUGAUGGAAUUCCAGAAUACCAGAAGCCAAAUGAUAACACCCAGCUAACAGAGCAAAGCUUCCUCAUUUUCUCUUGCCACCACCAUGUAAGAAGUGCC